UACGAAGGGGGCUAGCGUUGUUCGGAAUUACUGGGCGUAAAGCGCACGUAGGCGGACAUUUAAGUCAGGGGUGAAAUCCCAGAGCUCAACUCUGGAACUGCCUUUGAUACUGGGUGUCUUGAGUAUGGAAGAGGUGAGUGGAAUUCCGAGUGUAGAGGUGAAAUUCGUAGAUAUUCGGAGGAACACCAGUGGCGAAGGCGGCUCGCUGGGACGGUACUGACGCUGAGACGCGAAAGCGUGGGGAGCGAACGGG
rnacentral:rRNA from 1 species